AGCAACAGACAGAGCACAUUUCUCUACGAAAAGCGAUACAGUUUAUAAUUAAAGAAGACCCUUACCACGGAAACAAGACAUUAGCAGAAUGUUUGGUGCCUCGUAAGAGAGUUUGGACUUGGCUGAAGUUGUAGAACUAUGUUUAUAUGUUUACAUGUUGAAAGUACAAUUUCGCCCAUAAAAGAUGGCUGGUAAAGUGUCAUGCUAUUAAAGGAAAUGUCAUGGGCUCAAUUCUUAUAUUGGCCAUAGUUUCUUUCAAGUACAAUGAAAUAGAACUGUAGAGUUCA